rnacentral:rRNA from 1 species
UACGUAGGGUGCAAGCAUUAAUCGGAUUUAUUGGGCGUAAAGGGCGCGUAGGCGGUCCAUCAAGUCAGGUGUGAAAUUCCGGGGCUCAACCUCGGAGCGGCACUUGAAACUAAAGGACUAGAGGGUAGGCGGAGAAAACGGAAUUCCACAAGUAGCGGUGAAAUGCGUAGAUAUGUGGAAGAACACCGGUGGCGAAGGCGGUUUUCUAGCUUAUACCUGACGCUGAGGCGCGAAAGCAAGGGGAUCAAACAGG